ACAACUUUCAAGACAUUACCAAAGGGGAAAAAGAACAAAAGACCUCCCAAAAGUCUUCAUACCAAAAGGGAGUAAGUUCAUUUUUCUAGACAAGCCAAAAGAGGAAAGGGGGACAAGACCUCUAAAAGGUUGUCUUGCCAAAAAGGUGAAAGUUGGUCAAGGUUUGAAUUUUGAAAAAAAGGAUUUAAAGUCUUGUCUGUUAACCUACCAAAACCAAAAUUCCCCCCCAUCUUUGUGAAAUUUGAACAACCAAAAUUGUGGAACAAAAUUUUUCAACUUCAACAAUAUU
rnacentral:lncRNA from 1 species